GACGAACGCUGGCGGCGUGCUUAACACAUGCAAGUCGAACGAUGAAGCCAGCUUGCUGGUGGUUUAGUGGCGAACGGGUGCGUAACACGUGGGUGAUCUGCCCCAAACUUUGGGAUAAGCCUGGGAAACUGGGUCUAAUACCGAAUAUGACCGAUACUCGCAUGGGUGUUGGUGGAAAGCUCCGGCGGUUUGGGAUGGGCCCGCGGCCUAUCAGCUUGCUGGUGGGGUAAUGGCCUACCAAGGCGACGACGGGUAGCCGGCCUGAGAGGGGGACCGGCCACACUGGGACUGAGACACGGCCCAGACUCCUACGGGAGGCAGCAGUGGGGAAUAUUGCACAAUGGGCGCAAGCCUGAUGCAGCGACGCCGCGUGAGGGAUGACGGCCUUCGGGUUGUAAACCUCUUUCACCAGGGACGAAGCGAAAGUGACGGUACCUGGAGAAGAAGCACCGGCCAACUACGUG
rnacentral:rRNA from 1 species